AGUGAACGCUGGCGGCGUGCCUAAUACAUGCAAGUCGAACGGAAUUUAAAAGAGCUUGCUCUUUUAAAUUUAGUGGCGCACGGGUGAGUAAUAUAUAGCUAAUCUGCCCCUUGCUGGAGGACAACAGUUAGAAAUGACUGCUAAUACUCCAUACUCCUUUUUACCAUAAGAUAAAUCGGGAAAGAAUUUCGGCAAGGGAUGAGACUAUAUCGUAUCAGCUAGUCGGUGGGGUAACGGCCUACCGAGGCUAUGACGCGUAACUGGUCUGAGAGGAUGAUCAGUCACAUUGGAACUGAGACACGGUCCAAACUCCUACGGGAGGCAGCAGUAGGGAAUAUUGCGCAAUGGGGGAAACCCUGACGCAGCAACGCCGCGUGGAGGAUGACACUUUUCGGAGCGUAAACUCCUUUUGUUAGGGAAGAAU
rnacentral:rRNA from 1 species